AGAGUUUGAUCCUGGCUCAGGAUGAACGCUAGCUACAGGCUUAACACAUGCAAGUCGAGGGGCAUCAUUAUCGAAGCUUGCUUUGAUAGAUGGCGACCGGCGCACGGGUGAGUAACGCGUAUCCAACCUUCCCCUUAGUAGAGGAUAGCCCGGCGAAAGUCGGAUUAAUACUCUAUGUUGUAUUUUGAGGACAUCUGACGAAUACCAAAGAUUUAUCGCUAAGGGAUGGGGAUGCGUCUGAUUAGCUUGUCGGCGGGGUAACGGCCCACCGAGGCGACGAUCAGUAGGGGUUCUGAGAGGAAGGUCCCCCACAUUGGUACUGAGACACGGUCCAAACUCCUACGGGAGGCAGCAGUGAGGAAUAUUGGUCAAUGGGCGUAGGCCUGAACCAGCCAAGUAGCGUGCAGGAAGACUGCCCUAUGGGUUGUAAACUGCUUUUAUGCGGGAAUAAAGUCAGGUACGUGUACCUGUUUGCAUGUACCGCAUGAAUAAGGACCGGCUAAUUCCGUGCCAGCAGCCGCGGUAAUACGGAAGGUCCGGGCGUUAUCCGGAUUUAUUGGGUUUAAAGGGAGCGCAGGCGGAGGAUUAAGCGUGACGUGAAAUGUCCCGGCUCAACCGUGGAACUGCGUCGCGAACUGGUUUUCUUGAGUGAGUGCGACGUCGGCGGAAUUCGUGGUGUAGCGGUGAAAUGCUUAGAUAUCACGAAGAACCCCGAUUGCGAAGGCAGCCGACGAGUCCUUAACUGACGCUAAAGCUCGAAAGUGCGGGUAUCGAACAGGAUUAGAUACCCUGGUAGUCCGCACGGUAAACGAUGGAUGCCCGCUGUCUGCGAUACACUGUAGGCGGCCACAGAGAAAUCGUUAAGCAUCCCACCUGGGGAGACCCCGACGGCGG
rnacentral:rRNA from 1 species